UAAAGGUUAAGUCAAAGAAAUAGCUGCUAACUAAUUUCUAAAGCGGUUAAAUUCCGUUUACCUUUUA
rnacentral:tRNA from 2 species